CACAUGAUCAAAUGGCGUUGAAUAACGCGCGAAAGGUUGAAAAUGUGUAGGUAUAGCAUGCCACAUGCCAUAAGAACUGGUGUGACAUAAAACAGCAUAUAUUGAGAUCAGUCUGACAUAAUGGGAACUAUUAUUUGUUAUUUCUAUUGUACA